CAGUAGCCGCGGGAAUACGAAGGGGGCUAGCGUUGUUCGGAAUUACUGGGCGUAAAGCGCACGUAGGCGGGUAUUUAAGUCAGGGGUGAAAUCCCGCAGCUCAACUGCGGAACUGCCUUUGAUACUGGGUAUCUUGAGUAUGGAAGAGGUUAGUGGAAUUGCGAGUGUAGAGGUGAAAUUCGUAGAUAUUCGCAGGAACACCAGUGGCGAAGGCGGCUAACUGGUCCAUAACUGACGCUGAGGUGCGAAAGCGUGGGGAGCAAACAGGAUUAGAUACCCCUGUAGUCCCUGUCUCUUAUAA
rnacentral:rRNA from 1 species